rnacentral:lncRNA from 1 species
CUUACACUUCUUUCUUAAACCCUCGUGUGUCCACAUCUCCACCCCAACAUCUCUGUGUGUGUCUGCAUCCAUUUCCUCACAUCUGAAUGUUUACAUUUUAACCUUUUUGGGUGAUCUAAGUCUUUUUGUCUUAAACCUUUGCUUCCAGACCCAUCCUGCUCUGUCUAAAUGUUCUCAACACUUCACACCAUCACUAUUAACAUCCAUUGUUGGAUCUAUGCAGCUAAAACCUAUUACAGACGCUCUUUCCCCCCUCAGUUCUUUCUACUUCAACUGUUCUCUCUUUCCUGUCCCAAACUUUUGUCCAGUGCAACGAGACGCACCACUGCAGCCCCUCAGAAAACCAACAAGUGGAAAAUUCUCAACAAUCACAGAAGAAAUUUCUUCCGGCCUCCCCGGACGCUUCCCCCAUGUUUUAACUUUUAAAAAACAGCCUUUUUUUCCGCUUUCUCUCCAACGGACUGGAAAUGUGCUUGACUCAUGACAUUGAGAUGUACUCAUGCAGCUCGACUUGAACGGUGUUUCUGAAACACUGGUGACGGGACUGACAGUCAAGCUCAGAACUUUUUGAUGAAGAAAACUAACAGCUGGCCUGCGGUGACAAUGAAACAAAAUGGCUGCUGGUUUGAGUGCCUUUGGGUAACACCGUGAUAACCAUCAUCCACCCGACUCUUAACAGCGUCUCACAACGGAUGACUCACUGCCAGACGAACAUUAAGAUGACUAAUGAUAAUGGCACAGUGAUGGUUAGAGGGCGGUCACAGCCAAUGAAUGUUUACAGCUAAAAUGCUAAUAAGCUAAUCGCUCUGGCUCUCAAACCCCGCCUUGUGGGAAAAGAAGAGCCCGAAGAAUCUGAUGCAGAUCUUCUCCGUUUUGUGCUGUAGUAACUGGAUAGCUUUCUGUGUAUUUUGGGGUUUUAAAGUGUAUCUGUGAAUUUGGUGUAUGCACACUGUAUUACUUUAACACUUGGCUUAAAUAAAAUAAAAAAAUGUCCAUGGGAAAAGUAGCAAAUGAUAAACUCAAUCAUACUUCAGCCCCUGCUUGUUGUUUUCACUUUGCUGUAAUAGCGAAGUUUCAUUUUCAGGAAAAUCUUUGUAUAUGCAAGAAAAUCUGAUUAAUGUUUGUCUGCAUCUUUAAAAAAUAUAUUUGCAAACCUGCUGUGAUUAUAUUCAACAAAUAGUGCAAAAAAUAAUUCAGCAGAAAGCUUCUUGUACAAUGUGCUAAAGAGAUAAUGAAGUGAUUACAGUCACAGUAUAGAGGAAUCAUUUGUAACCAUAAGUAGUCUAAAUGCUGGUUGAUCAUAUUCUGUUGUAUUGUUUUUGCAUCUGCUUUUGAUAUUCUUUACUGUGUUGGCUCCUGUGGACAAUAAACCUUUUCUUGAUGCACGUAAGUGUAAUAUUUUUGAAUCCAGAGAAUAAUGCAUUACAUGUCUAUCAUCUGUGGUGAAUGAAAUAAAAUAAAAUAAUACAUGGUUG